rnacentral:rRNA from 1 species
AACGAACGCUGGCGGCAUGCCUAACACAUGCAAGUCGAACGAGACCUUCGGGUCUAGUGGCGCACGGUUGCGUAACGCGUGGGAACCUGCCCUUAGGUUCGGCAUAACUCCCCGAAAGGGGUGCUAAUACCGGAUAAUGUCUUCGGCCCAAUGAUUUAUCGCCUUUGGAUGUGCCCGCGUUGGAUUAGCUCGUUGGUAGGGUAAUAGCCUACCACGGCGACGAUCCAUAGCUGGUCUGAGAGGAUGAUCAGCCACACUGGGACUGAGACACGGCCCAGACUCCUACGGGAAGGAGCAGUGGGGAAUAUUGGACAAUGGGCGAAAGCCUGAUCCAGCAAUGCCGCGUGAGUGAUGAAGGCCGUAGGGUUGUAAAGCGCUUUUAACCGGGAUGAUAAUGACAGUACCGGGAGAAUAAGCUCCGGCUAACUCCGUG